AACACGUGGGUAACCUGCCUGUAAGACUGGGAUAACUCCGGGAAACCGGGGCUAAUACCGGAUGCUUGAUUGAACCGCAUGGUUCAAUCAUAAAAGGUGGCUUUUAGCUACCACUURCAGAUGGACCCGCGGCGCAUUAGCUAGUUGGUGAGGUAACGGCUCACCAAGGCGACGAUGCGUAGCCGACCUGAGAGGGUGAUCGGCCACACUGGGACUGAGACACGGCCCAGACUCCUACGGGAGGCAGCAGUAGGGAAUCUUCCGCAAUGGACGAAAGUCUGACGGAGCAACGCCGCGUGAGUGAUGAAGGUUUUCGGAUCGUAAAACUCUGUUGUUAGGGAAGAACAAGUACCGUUCGAAUAGGGCGGYACCUUGACGGUACCUAACCAGAAAGCCACGGCUAACUACGUGCCAGCAGCCGCGGUAAUACGUAGGUGGCAAGCGUUGUCCGGAAUUAUUGGGCGUAAAGCGCGCGCAGGCGGUUUCUUAAGUCUGAUGUGAAAGCCCCCGGCUCAACCGGGGAGGGUCAUUGGAAACUGGGGAACUUGAGUGCAGAAGAGGAGAGUGGAAUUCCACGUGUAGCGGUGAAAUGCGUAGAGAUGUGGAGGAACACCAGUGGCGAAGGCGACUCUCUGGUCUGUAACUGACGCUGAGGCGCGAAAGCGUGGGGAGCGAACAGGAUUAGAUACCCUGGUAGUCCACGCCGUAAACGAUGAGUGCUAAGUGUUAGAGGGUUUCCGCCCUUUAGUGCUGCAGCAAACGCAUUAAGCACUCCGCCUGGGGAGUACGGUCGCAAGACUGAAACUCAAAGGAAUUGACGGGGGCCCGCACAAGCGGU
rnacentral:rRNA from 1 species